rnacentral:ncRNA from 1 species
AUUUUAGUGAUGAAAAAAAGGAGUAAAUACAGGAUUAUCAUUUAGAGAGGAAGUGGUGGGUGCAAACUUCUUGGUAAUGGUAUUGAAGCUGUUUUGGAGCUAAGUAAUAUAGAAGAGGUAUAAGUUUACAACUUAUAUAAUUAGGGUGGUACCGCGGAGAAGCUUUCGUCCCUUAU